GCCAGCGCGGUGGUGAUGGUGCCUGGUAUGGCUGCAUCCCCACCACAGCCACCACGCUGACGC
ensembl:miRNA